rnacentral:rRNA from 1 species
AUUGAACGCUGGCGGCAGGCCUAACACAUGCAAGUCGAACGAGUGGCGGACGGGUGAGUAAUGUCUGGGAAACUGCCUGAUGGAGGGGGAUAACUACUGGAAACGGUAGCUAAUACCGCAUACCAUCGGAUGUGCCCAGAUGGGAUUAGCUAGUAGGUGGGGUAAAGUCUCACCUAGGCGACGAUCCCUAGCUGGUCUGAGAGGAUGACCAGCCACACUGGAACGGAGACACUGUCCCACCUCCUACGGGAGGCAGCAGUGGGGAAUAUUGGACAAUGGGCGCAAGCCUGAUGCAGCCAUGCCGCUUGUAUGAAGAAGGCCUUCGGGUUGUAAAGUACUUUCAGCGGGGAGGCGUUACCCGCAGAAGAAGCACCGGCUAACUCCGUGCCAGCCGCCGCGGUAAUUC